ACAUCCAGUUUAUGGGGAAAGGAAAGGGUAAAAGAAAAUCAUAUUUAUAAUGGACUAUCACAGACAGACUAGUUCCAUCAGUAAAACAACAAGGAAAAACACCUCACUUGGGCCAUUCAGCACAAGACAACAAACAAUGACAAUUGUACAAAUCUGGACCUAAGAUGAUCCACAGGAGGAAGAGGCGGGGAUAUAGAACUUGAAAACUAACAAAAGAUGGAAGACAUUAUGAAGCUUAAGUCUUUAAGAGCUUUGACAAGCAGUUGUUUCUUGUACUAACUGAUCUUACUUUAAAUCAUUGUUUCCCAACCAUUUGAAUGCUGAGCCUGCACUUCAGGAAAAUAGAACUCUGCGAUGGAUUGUUAAAGGCCCACACAUCUUCACGUGUGCAUUUUUCGCACUCCCAUGACUGAUCCUUCCCAUUGGACUUGCAAUCCUUUACCCCUUACUUUUUAAAAUCCUGAGGCAGAUUUUCAUAAGAUACUACUUGUCCUUUCUAACAUGCAGUGAUGAACAGUGAUAGUCAACAACUGUCAUAGUUAAAGGGCUAACUGCACCUCUGACCCCUUCUCUGGCCUCCCUGAGGGCAUCCCCACAGGUCUGAGGUCUUGUCUUAUCACCUCCCUGGGGCAGAGCACUGUGAAUCUCCCACUCUCAGACCAAGUGCAGUGCUACAGUACUCUGUGUACCCACCAUACUUACCCAGCAGGUUCAAGGGGACUCGGAACCCGUGGUUCUUUCCUUCGGGAGCUGUGACCAGGGGUGAAUUCAGUGACCCAGAACUGCAUUCUUAAAAGAAAAUAUAGUUUAAUCUUGGCAAUAGGAACACGGCAAAAUAUAAGGUAAGAGGGUUUUAAAACAACAACAACAGUCUAUAUGUAAGUCUAUCAUACAUAAAGGCUUCGGCAGGCCAAUUUUAUUCCAGAUCCUUGGGAUCUGGAUGUCAGUUUUUAUCCCAACAGUUUCUCUCUGUCAGUACUUGAGGAUUGUGUCUUUUUAUUCCACUCCAAGAUAUUCAUUCUCACCUGUGUUUCUGGAGCCUGGUUAUACCAGAUCAGUAGGGUGUUGGAGCUGCACUUCAAAGCAGAUGCCUCUGCAUUGUUCUUAAAGUGUUUGCUCCAAAGCGAAUAUCCAUCCCCAUCUUCCUGGGUGUAUUUUCUUACAAGCAUGCUAGUGAACUUACUCAAUGUAUGCAUACGGGAAACACCAUUGGUCAAGAUAUAGUAUUCACAGAUUAUUACGGGCAGCGCCAAAAUCCAUCACAACAAAAAUUACCACUGAUAUGUGAGUUAAUCCCCUUGCAAUCAAUGGGGGCAGUUCGUGGCUCAGAGCUAUUGUUUCAAGCUCUCCACAAAGGCUGGCAGACAUCUCUUCAUCAGUUAUAUUCCAGGUUUUGAAAGCUCUCCCCCCCUGCCCCCGCACACACACACACAGUAUUUUAACAGCGAGAGACUUUGUGGAGGGUGGCUGGUUUAAACAAAAAUAAAAACCAAGACUCUGGAGAAUAAUUAGGAGGUCUUUCUUGACCAACCUGGCUAGCUCUUUGUGUAUAUCCAGCCCAGGUAGUUAUGUAAAGAGCUGCCUCUUAAUGAGUGUGUUUUUAACAGGGAAUGUAAUAAUGUUAAAACACAAUUUUUAACAGCUGAGGUAGGUGACAUGAUGGUGACCAUGACCGACUGUGUAGUGCAGAAAAAGACAAGCUUUGUGUAAACUUAUUCAGCUUUGUGUAAGCUAGUUGUUGGUAAGUAGUGAUCCUAAUUCGAUUUAUUCAUGACUAGCUCACGUGAUACCGAAAAAAAAUCGUCUUUUUCUGCAUUGACCAGUCACAAUCAUGGCAAUCAACUGUAUUAUUAAAAAUAGAGUUCAACAUUAUUACAUUUCUUAGUGAAGACGAGGCAAUUGAGGACUAGCUGUAGCACUCAUUUGUCUCAAUUUAAUACAGAGUUUUCUCUGGGGUCAGUACAUAUACAGUUCCUCCCAGCCUAGAUGUAUAAAACAGGUCCACAAGCUUCAUUAUAAAGCUGUUCUACAUAAUUAUGAGUCUACUGUGUAAACCUGCUUUGCCAUAACUCAAAUUUAACCAAUUAGUAAAUGCACAAUGGGUUGUUUUCCAAGGAAAACCUUGUUAGCCACAUUUUAAAUUAAAUUGAUAGCAUAGGGGGAAAAUAUAUUACUAAGUACCAUCCCAAAUGUAUUUCCUUUGCUUCCUUUAUGUUUGUUAAGUUCCUUCCUCCUAAGUGGUAAAAAUCCAGAAAGA